GUGCUCUCUUCAGCUGCACAUAUACUAAAACUGGAACGAUAAAGAGAAGAUUAGCAUGGCCUCUGUGCUAGGAUGACAUGCAAAUUCGUGAAGCGUUCCAUAUUUUU
rfam:Mus musculus chromosome 7, GRC primary reference assembly.